GUCAAAUUAUAUGAAUUGAUGAGCUGAUGCUCUGUAAGGUAUAACACUUAAUAGUAUGCAAGAGUUCUGAUUGAA
rnacentral:snoRNA from 1 species